UCGACGACAUUGGUAGGCAAACAAAGCGGCGAGGUGUGCGCUGAACCAGGUUCACCGCGUUACCUGCAUACCUUCAGAAACAGUACAAGAACCAAUUUACUAACACAAUGGUGACUACGUGUUGCGUAUUGGGAUGUGCUACUCGCGCGAAGACUGGAAGUGGCAUCGGUUUCUUUCGAUUCCCGAAGCACGAUCCUGAACGACGCCAACAGUGGAUUCGCGCUGUUCGAAGGCGAAACUGGGAACCGACUGAGAACGACCGGGUUUGCGGCGAGCACUUCUUGCAGGGACAACCUUGUCACACGCACAAGAACCAUCCAGACUGGAUUCCCUCCGUGUUUUCUUUCACCCAACGGAACCGAGAGCUUGAAGGUCGGAAGCUCAAGCGGUUUGAGAGGAGUCUGAAACGGCUGCGGCGUUUGGUUGUACGCACCACAAGCUCUCCUGUGCCCAACAGCGUACCAUCAAACAGCACCAGCAACUCAGAAUUUCCUUCAAAGCCUUCCAGUAUGCUUCCUGCCCAGGGCUACACUGUACAAGGCCACUUUCCAACUUCUCCUAUUCCUGGUAUGCCUACUCAAGCGUUCAUGGUCAACAGCGAUGGAAGUGUUGGAAGCACCUACACCACUACGGUUAAAGGCCCCACUUUCUUGCUGUGCAGUGGCGCCGGAAAUCCGAGGCUCGUGAGUCAGGAGUCUGCAACCAACCAGGUUGUGGUUCUCCUCGGCCCGGGAGUGUCGCCAGCAGCCGUCGCACCAACGACAACUGUAAUGUCCAACAAUACUCCCAUUGUGCACCAUGUCGUGGGUGGCACACAGCUUGGGUCUUCAGAAUUGCAGAGGAUUGCACCAGCCUUGGAAGGCAGUGAGCAAGAAAGGGCAGCACCACAGAUUCGUGUCGCCAAUGUCUGGAGCACAGCCUCAGACAUGACCUUGUCUGCAAGCGAGGAAGAGGAUGAGCGAGCAGUCGUGGGAGAAGGCAACACCGAUGAGCAAAUUUUGCCAACAACAGAAGGGAAUGCAGAGUGCCUGCCAGACCUACUGGACACCGACCUGGAGAUGGCAGUGAGCGAAGAUGACAAUAUGGAAGAUGCAAUCUCAAAGGGUACUGCGCGAACUCGUCAACUAGAAUGUGCCACAAUGCCUUGGAACUCAUCAGAACAGAGGUGCAGCAGGGCCGAGCCACCGAUGCCAGGCAGGGAGCAGCUAGAGACGGCAGGUGCAUUGGCCGAGACUUCGCCACGCCCACGGAUUGUGGAUGUCUGGAGCGCUGCCUCCGACUCUGGCCUGACUGCAAGUGAAGGGGACGAGGACACCACAGGCCCUGCGGUGCAUGGUUCUUCAACGUGCAGCCUUGAUGAGCCAGACUACAUCCUGCCUUGCACCGAGAUGCCAAACUAAGGUGCAUUAAGACAUCCCCAUUCAAGUCGGCAACUACCUGGUCACUGCCUUCAUGGACACUGGCACCGAUUACUCUGUUACGAGUGCCGAACAGAGAAAAGUCACGAUGCUAUGGCACCGACCAAGCCAUCGGACAGCAGGUGGUCAUCCCUUGACGCUGAUUGGGAGAUGCAUGGCCAGGCUCCAAAUGUGUCAGUCAACGGCUACCAGCAAGGCAGUGAAUACAGCAGAGGACAUGGAGCCGAGCACAUCGUGCCAACGGCUUCAGUAAGAGAACAAACAACUUCAAGAAGUGGCCAGACUCGUAGCCAUUGCAAGAGCAGCAUUUAAUUGGCUGAUGGAGCAAGCGAAUACCAAUUGUGCCAGGAGCACAGACCUGUAUAUAUUGUACAUCAUGUAUAGUUUUCAUCAUUUUAACCUAAUAAAAUGCUUUCCGUUUUGACCA